UACGUAGGGGGCAAGCGUUGUCCGGAUUCAUUGGGCGUAAAGAGCGUGUAGGCGGCCAGGUAGGUCGGUUGUGAAAACUGGAGGCUCAACCUUCAGAGGUCGACCGAAACCAUCUGGCUAGAGUCCGGGAGAGGAGAGUGGAAUUCCUGGUGUAGCGGUGAAAUGCGCAGAUAUCUGGAGGAACACCGGUGGCGAAGGCGGCAUCCUGGACCAACACUGACGCUGAGUGAGCGAAAGCCAGGGGAGCAAACGGG
rnacentral:rRNA from 1 species